rnacentral:rRNA from 1 species
UCAGCUCGUGUCGUGAGAUGUUGGGUUAAGUCCCGCAACGAGCGCAACCCUUGUCAUUAGUUGCUACAUUUAGUUGGGCACUCUAAUGAGACUGCCGGUGACAAACCGGAGGAAGGUGGGGAUGACGUCAAGUCCUCAUGGCCCUUAUAGGUGGGGCUACACACGUCAUACAAUGGCUGGUACAAAGGGUUGCCAACCCGCGAGGGGGAGCUAAUCCCACAAAGCCAGUCGUAGUCCGGAUCGUAGUCUGCAACUCGACUACGUGAAGUCGGAAUCGCUAGUAAUCGUGGAUCAGAAUGUCACGGUGAAUACGUUCCCGGGUCUUGUACACACCGCCCGUCACACCAUGGGAGCGGGUUCUGCCAGAAGUAGUUAGCCUAACCGCAAGGAGGGCGAUUACCACGGCAGGGUUCGUGACUGGGGUGAAGUCGUAACAAGGUAGCCGUA